CCUACGGGAGGCAGCAGUGGGGGAUAUUGCACAAUGGGGGGAACCCUGAUGCAGCGACGCCGCGUGGGUGAAGGAGUGCUUCGGCAUGUAAAGCCCUAUCGGCAGGGAAGAAGCAAGACGGUACCUGACUAAUCAGCCCCGGCUAACUACGUGCCAGCAGCCGCGGUAAUACGGUGGGGGCGAGCGUUAGCCGGAUUCACUGGGUGUAAAGGGCGCGUAGACGGCCAUGCAUGCCAGGGGUGAAAGCCCGGGGGCCAACCCCGGGACUGCCCUUGGAACUGUGCGGCUAGAGUGCGGGAGGGGAAGGCGGAAGUCCUGGUGUAGCGGUGAAAUGCGUAGAUAUAAGGAGGAACACCGGCGGCGAAGGCGGCCUGCUGGACCGCGACUGACGUUGAGGCUCGAAAGCGUGGGGAGCGAACAGGAUUAGAUACCCCAGUAGUC
rnacentral:rRNA from 1 species